rnacentral:rRNA from 1 species
CAGCCGCCGCGGGAAUACGUAGGUCCCGAGCGUUGUCCGGAUUUAUUGGGCGCAAAGCGAGCGCAGGCGGUUAGAUAAGUCUGAAGUUAAAGGCUGUGGCUUAACCAUAGUACGCUUUGGAAACUGUUUAAUUUGAGUGCAAGAGGGGAGAGUGGAAUUCCAUGUGUAGCGGUGAAAUGCGUAGAUAUAUGGAGGAACACCGGUGGCGAAAGCGGCUCUCUGGCUUGUAACUGACGCUGAGGCUCGAAAGCGUGGGGAGCAAACAGGAUUAGAUACCCCCGUAGUCCCUGUCUCUUAUACA